ACUCAGGGAUGGCUCAGUUGGUAGAGCAUGAGACCCUUAAUCUCAGGGUUGUGGGUUUGAGCACCACGUUGGGCA